AACGCACCUUGCGCUCCUUGGUAUUCCUUGGAGCAUGCCUGUUUGAGUAUCAUGAAAUCUUCAAAGCAAACCUUUUGUUAAUUCAAUCGGUCUCUUGCUUUGGUAUUGGAGGUCUUUGCAGCUUCACACCUGCUCCUCUUUGUUUAUUAGCUGGAUCUCAGUGUUAUGCUUGGUUCCACUCGGCGUGAUAAGUUAUCUAUCGCUGAGGACACCGUAAAAAAGUGGCCAAGGUAAAUGCAGACGAACCGCUUCUAAUAGUCCAUUGACUUGGACAAUUAAAUUUUUAUGAUCUGAUCUCAAAUCAGGUAGGACUACCCGCUGAACUUAA
rnacentral:misc_RNA from 1 species